GCGGACGUGGCGAAAUUGGUACACGCAUCACCUUGAGGGGGUGACGCCCGCAAGGGCUUGAGGGUUCAAAUCCCUCCGUCCGCA
rnacentral:tRNA from 1 species